CCUACGAGGGGCAGCAGUAGGGAAUGUUCGGCAAUGGGGGGAACCCUGACCGAGCAACGCCGCGUGAACGAAGAAGUUAUUCGUAAUGUAAAGUUCUUUUAACAGGGAAGAAAGAGAAAUUUGACGGUACCUGAAGAAUAAGCUCCGGCUAACUACGUGCCAGCAGCCGCGGUAAUACGUAGGGAGCGGGCGUUAUCCGGAAUUAUUGGGCGAAAAGGGUGCGUAGAUGGCAUAGUAAGUCUGUUGUAAAAAUGCUGGGCUCAACCCAGUAGGGCAAAAGAUACUGCAAAGCUAGAGUAUGACAGAGGCAAGUGGAACUACAGGUGUAGCGGUAAAAUGCGUAAAUAUAUGUAAGAACACCAGUGGCGAAGGCGGCUUGCUGGGUCGAUACUGACAUUGAGGCACGAAAGCGUGGGGAGUAAACAGGAUUAGAUACCCGAGUAGUC
rnacentral:rRNA from 1 species